CCUACGGGAGGCAGCAGUGGGGAAUAUUGGGCAAUGGGCGCAAGCCUGAACCAGCAACGCCGCGUGAAGGAAGAAGGCUUUCGGGUUGUAAACUUCUUUUCUCAGGGACGAAGCAAGUGACGGUACCUGAUGAAUAAGCCACGGCUAACUACGUGCAAGCAGCCGCGGUAAUACGUAGGUUGCAAGCGUUAUCCGGAUUUACUGGGUUUAAAGGGCGUGUAGGCGGGAAGGCAAGUCAGAUGUGAAAACCAGGGGCUCAACCUGUGGCCUGCAUUUGAAACUGGUUUUCUUGAGUACAGGGGAGGCAGACGGAAUUCCUAGUGUAGCGGUGAAAUGCGUAGAUAUCAGGAGGAACACCAGUGGCGAAGGCGGUCUGCUGGACAGCAACUGACGCUGAGGCGCGAAAGUGUGGGGAGCAAACAGGAUUAGAUACCCCUGUAGUC
rnacentral:rRNA from 1 species